UUGACUUGACAUUGUUAAUACUCUAUUUACACACAUUACCAUUGUUUUACUCACUGUUACUUGCAUUAAUGGCAGAUGUGUGUCUACCUUUGAGUGCAGCUCCAGCUGGAGGCCAUGGAGAAGAAGAUCCACGACUUGUUGGAGAAGUAGUCCCAGCUGAGAGAGCGGAGAGCUGCACUGGAAACAUCCCAGGCUGAUGCUCACAAGUCCAAAAUCUGCGAUCCUGAAGGGCGACGAGAGCCCAGGAACGGUCGUGCUUCACACCAGGGUUAACGACACCACGCUGCGGCAGACGGAGACACUGAAGAGGGACUUCAGGAGCCUGAUCGAGACGGUGUGCAGCACAUCGCCCGUGGUGACGAUCAUCGUAUCAGGACCGCUUCCAACGUAUUGACGAGGACAUGAAAAGGCAGUUCGUGAAGACAGAUAAUCAAGAGAUGUGACAAACUGUACAGAAGUCAGUUCCAGAUCCACCCUCCACUCUGGACUUCGCUCUCGUAUGGAUUGCUGUCUACUAGCAUAUUGUGUUCUCUUCAAACUUCGGUGGAUGCAGAUACUACUCAGGGACAUGAACACUUGAAUAUUGCAAGAAUAGAGAAAGUAAGAAUUACUUAAGAUUUAAGAAUUAAAUCAAAUGUUAAUUGUUUAACAAAAUUUAUUUAUUUAUCUAAAAGCCAAUUCACAAUAGUUUUGUGGCAGUGUGAACUGACCAUAAUGCUGUAUGUUAGGUAUGAGAUUCAUUAAACUUGGUUUGCUAUAAUACAUCUAUUCAUAAGUGCACCAGUGUGAAUCAUAAUUCCCUGCACAUUUGCUGUAUAGAUGGUUUCAUUGGCAACAACAUAAACAUUUCUGCACAGGUGCGCUUUUGUGGCCCUAACUUAACUUCCGGUAGACUUCCAAAUAGGAUCAAUAACAACACCUAAGUAGUCCCUCUAGAGUAGAUUAUUUCUGAUAACAAGCAAAGUAUGUUUGCUGGGUAAAUCAGACUUACUGAAAAUGCAAAUUCAUUCUUUGCCAGCAGGAGGUGCUUUAAAACUGGAGAAACAGAGGUUUCCCCAGUAACUGCUGUACACAGAGCAGCGCUCAGCUCACAAACGCUGCUUUA